UACGUAGGGGCAAGCGUUAUCCGGAUUUACUGGGUGUAAAGGGAGCGUAGGUGGCAAAGUAAGUCAGAUGUGAAAGCCCGUGGCUUAACUGCGGGAUUGCAUCAGAAACUGCUUUGCUAGAGUGCAGGAGAGGUAAGUGGAAUUCCUAGUGUAGCGGUGAAAUGCGUAGAUAUUAGGAGGAACACCGGUGGCGAAGGCGGCUUACUGGACGAUUACUGACGUUGAGGCUCGAAAGCGUGGGGAGCAAACAGGAUUAGAUACCCUGGUAGU
rnacentral:rRNA from 1 species